rnacentral:rRNA from 1 species
UUACACACACAUCCGCCUGGGUACUACGAGCACAGCUUAAAACCCAAAGGACUUGGCGGUGUCUCAGACCCACCUAGAGGAGCCUGUUCUAGAACCGAUAACCCCCGUUAAACCUCACCACUUCUUGUUUUCCCCGCCUAUAUACCGCCGUCGUCAGCUUACCCUGUGAAGGUUUAAUAGUAAGCAAAAUGGGCCCGCCCAAAAACGUCAGGUCGAGGUGUAGCGUACGAAGGGGAAAGAAAUGGGCUACAUUUUCUAUAUACAGAAUAUUACGGACGAUGCAUUGAAAUCAUGCACCCGAAGUGGGAUUUAGUAGUAAAAAGCAAACAGAGUGUCCCUUUGAACUAGGCUCUGAGACGCGCACACAC